ensembl:miRNA aca-mir-129b aca-mir-129b
CAGGGUCUUCCCUGGGUCUUUUUGCGGUCUGGGCUUUCUGGGUCUGUCCAACCCCCGUAUCAGAAAGCCCUUACCCCAAAAAGCAUCCGGGGCUGGACGAGGGCAUCGCCGCGA